UCCUACAUGGCACUUUUUAUAGUUCUGAAUUCAGUCUUAGCCAAGACAGUUUGUACCACACCACCCACUCCAAACAACACACUGUCAGUUUAUUCUUGGAUGGCUUUUGAAUUCUAACAGAGUUUUCACAAACAUUUGGACUGAAUUUCUUUUCUUAGGUAAGAAUAAACUAACAAUAAAGAGGCAGAGCACUAAAUAAAGACUCAAGAGUCUCACAAGAUGCAAAGAAAAAUAUCUUCAAGGAAUGGAACCAAGAGUUCUUUUGAAGAUAGUAUGGCAAAGAGGAUGGAAAAAACAGAAGGAUGAACAAAGAAAUAAGAUAUGCCACCAGGUUCCAGAUGCUAAGAUGAUGCCAAUCUGACUUCUAUGAUGACUUCCCUGAGCAGACGACCUUAUCAAUGUGUCCUGGAACCCCACCUCCCUAGAGCCCUGCCCCACUAGGGAAAGAGAGAGAGAGGCUGGGAGUAUGGAUCAACCUGUCAACAUCCAUGUUCAGCGGGGGAAGCAAUUACAGAAGCCAGACCUUCAACCUUCUGCAUCCCACAAUGACCCUGGGUCCAUACACCCAGAGGGAUAAAGAAUAGAAAAGCUAUCAGGGGAGGGUAUGGGAUAGGGAGUUUCGGUGGUGGGAACUGUGUGGAAUUGUACCCCUCUGGAUCUAUGGUCGUGUCAAUGUUUCCAUUUUACAAAUAAAAAGAAAUUAAAUAUAUGUAAGUGAAAUAAAUACGGAAGUUGACUGGAAAGAGGACUGAUUUCUGGGUUCUAAAAGAGCAAAUGGGAUGACCUAGGAAAAGCAGGGUAUACAUAUUCUGUUCCACAUCAUGAAGUUAUUUAAGGAAAAGAAGAUGCUGGAACCCCAGUGUCUUGUGCUUUUUUUUUUUUUUUUUUUUGCUACUUUACAGGAUAUAAUGUAAACCUGAAUUAAGGAAUAAAAAUCUAUGUAAGGUUUCAAGCACCAGUCAGUAGUUGUCUUGUUUGUAUUUCUAAAAUUGCAUAAUUUUCCUGCAAGAAGCUACCCUUGCUCAUUUUCAAAUGCAAGUUAAGUAUAGUGAA